UCGACAUGGGCUAUCGUGCCGUUCAUGGAAUCCACCUUAGCCGUGCAUGUCUUGCUGCACAUGUCUUACCGCGCAGCCCUAAGUUAAAAGCCCUAGGUGCGGCCCAACUUGCUCAUACGGCUUCUGCACCAUUGCAUGGGUAUCACGCCGUGCUGGCGGAACCCCUGAACGUCAACCAGCACUAGCCUAGAGGUUCACAACGUACAGACUCGUCCAGUCAAGGCGUUUAAGCUGCGGCGCGUGACCUGCGAUGUGACUGUGAGGGCCACUGGCAGGUAGGGCCUUAGGUUUUCUGCUUUGUGGCUGCUAUCCUCAGUUACACGCACCCCAGCACCAACCGUUUCAUAACACGCAGUGCCAGUUGCCACCAAGCAGUCAGUCACAUGUGUGUACAGCACACCUAGCCAGGGACGCGAUAUAGCCAUCGGCCAAGCUCAGGCCGCAACACUUUAAGCACUUGCACACUGCAAAAAAACAGCCCCCAGCCUGCUGACGCCCUCCCUCACCCCAAGGGUCCCAAUCGUCUGCCAUGCAACGCCUUUGUGCAUGGGUCAUCUUUAACCUUUGCACUACCUGCAAGCUGCUGAUUUGAAGGAAUCCUUAGGAUGUGGUGACGUACUGCGGAAGUCCUUGGGAGAUUUGCCGGUCCACGGUUAUCGCUCACUUAUCACCAGAUUCUCAUCCGGCAGGGUCAUGCUGAGCCGGAUGCUGUGGCCCUAAAGUAGAACAAAUUCUUGGCGCUGAGUGGCUAUCUGCGAUGGACUGCCGCCAACACCCCGGUUCCCAUUCCCCGCCAUUCACCACCGCCAUUCGCCAUUCAUUCGCCAUUUCCCCCCCCUCAACCUGGUGCUGCUGGCCGAGUUGCUGCAAGCUGCCGGAUGUAGUUUGCGAAGGUAGACACAGGAACCUGCAAGAAAUUCGCUUGCCUGGAGAUCUAGUGAAAGUCUACCGAUGCCGUUGCCUGCCCUUUCAGCACCCCCUCUCUGUAUCUCCCACUUGUUCGACUUGCAACCAUCCCGUGACCAUUAUCUCUUCCGAAAGGGCAUCGCCCGAUAGCGAUCACGAGGGAAGCUAGGCGCACCGCAACUGGGGGGGGAUAUGACGAUUCCUCUCCGGGUGGGAGAAGCGGUGCGCCUACACACCGACUGUCUCCGAACGAUGGCAAGAUUGGUCUGAUCCUGGCCAAAUAAACGCCUCAAAUCUCUAUAAAGCUUCUUAAAUAUCUGUGG
rnacentral:lncRNA from 1 species